CUCAUUUUACUGACCGAAAUCUCUGUCUAUAGAAAGGAUCCAUAAAUCAGGUCUAGAAAGAUUGCAGACUGAAGGGUUGAGGCAGGAUCCAUGUACAACUCUGAACUAUGAUAACUGAAAAGGAACCUCCCAACUUUUCACUUGGAGCUGCUAAAUGUGCUUGCAUACUUGGAUAUUGAAGACAGCUGCUCCAAAAACAGGUACUGCAUUGCAGAUGAUCUUUGUUUGGUCACACCAACUGGAGGAGUAUGGGGAGUCCUGACCUAAGAGACUCACUUUCCUGAAGGUACUUCAGAUGACUUACUUAGUUGACUACAUACUGGUCCUUCAGGAGUUUAUCUUCAUCUGUUAAACAGUAGAGAUAAACUGCUCCC